rnacentral:lncRNA from 10 species
GCUUAACUCUGGAGGUGCUGCUGUGUUUGGAGCAUUUAAACCCAGAGGCAGGGGCGACGCAGAAAAAAAAAAGGCAUCAGAGUUGUCGGGGAGCAGCAGGCUUACUCUCGAGAUUCUCCCUGCUGACCUGAUGAAGUAAGCAGCCUUGUCGGGAAAGCCUACAUGGCAAGGAACUGCAAAUGGCCUCUAGGAACUGUGAGUGGCCUUUAGGAGCUGAAGUUGGCCUCCAAUCAGCAAGAAGCCAGGGCACUUAGUCCUACUGCAGCAAGGAAAUACAUUCUGCCAACCAUCUGAAUGAGCUUGGAAGUGGAUUCUUCCCAAGCCAAGCCUCCAUAUAAGAAUGCAGCCCACCUGACACAUUCAUAACAGCUGAGCAGAGGACCCAAUUAAACCGUGCCUGGACUCUUCAUCCACAGAAACUUCGAGAUAAUCAAUGCAUGUUGCGUUAAGCCAUGACGUUUGUGAUAAUUCGUUAUGCAGCAAUAAAUGACUAACACACUCCUUUACACAGCUCUAGUCAGCUUUUCUUUAUGUGCAGCCAAACUGAUACAUAGUUGGUGGAUACACAGAUGAUCAUCUAGGGAGACCUCCCAAAAUGGGAGGAACGGGAACUGAUGCUUAGAGAAGGUAGAAGAGCAGGGAUUGUCAGCAACUGAAGAGACAGCUGCAGUCUUAGACAUUUUUCUCCCAAGAGAAAAAUUGGGUAUUCUCAUUCAGAAGGCCUUUAGCUGCUAACUAUGUAGAUGCUCUCCAAAAUACCAUAAGUGAUUAAGAACUAGGAAAAAGAAAGUUUGUUUGAUAAACCUUUGGAGUAAGUCUUUCACUGAUUAAGGUAGGAGAGUAGCAGUUUCUUUUGAUAUUCAAGGCUCUUUGUAAGCAAUUGGCUGCCUUCCAUUCAAUUAUCAAGAUGUGCCAUAAUUUACCAAGUCCUUCCUCUAAUCGCAGACUAUUUGAGAUGCCUUCCAUCUCUAAGAUUUUUUUUCUUUGAGACGGAGUUUCACUCUUGUUGCCUAGGCUGGAAUGCAAUGGCACGAUCUUGGCUCACGGCAACCCCCACCUCCCAGGUUCAAGUGAUUCUCCUGCCUC